CACAGACAGAGGCGCUCACACACAGCAUCCAAUCCAUCCUGUUUUGAUGCAAAAAGAAAAGGAAAGGAAAAAAAACAAGAAGAAGAAGAAGAAGAAGAAUUUAUAAAGAGCGAAAAGACAGAGAGGGAGAAUUGAAGUUAAUAUAGCAAUAACGUUGUCAGAUUAAUAUUAGAUUACUAAGUAAAAUAACAGACUCGCUCACAUUUAUCUCUAAAGAGAGAGCGAUCAGCAGCAGCAAAGCCAUGGAGGCGGAAUUGAAAGAGAUACUUAAUGAUCUUGAUUCUCUCAGACAAUCCUUGCCUAAUCAUUCUUCUAUUCAUAUGCUGCAGUCGCGUGUUGAGCAUCUCACGAAGCUGGCCAAGUCUGCACCUGUUGGGCGUACGAAAGUCAAAGUUUCGUCCAUGGGUAUGGUGGCGUAUAGGGUUGUGGGUUUCUGAUGGUGAAUUUUUUUGUUGCUGUUGUGGUGGUGGUGGUGACAGGAUAUUGCGGAGGUGGUGGAUAGUAAUCCGUAUAGUAGGCAAAUGGCACUUCAGAGGAUGGGUAUAGUGGACAAUUAUGAGAGAAUUCGGUACUUCUCGGUUGCCGUCAUUGGAAUUGGCGGCGUAGGUUGUGUUGUAGCUGAGAUGUUAACAAGGGAGUUGUUGCAGGGCUCUUAGUGCAAAAUACGCUGAAGUUCCUGCUACAGCUUGGACAUGUCUCUCCUUACCUGGGUUACAAUUCUCUUAAAGAUUAUUUCCCAACCAUGGAAAUGAGGCCAAAUCCUCAAUGUUCAAAUGCAGCUUGUCUAGAGCGUCAGAAAGAAUACCUCCUUGAAAAGCCUGCUGGGGAUGCUGCAAUCAGAGCCAAGAUGGAGGCCGAAGCAUUAUUAGUUCCAGAAGGCCCAUUCUAUGCGGAUAAUGAAUGGGACAUCAGGUGGUUCUUAGGAUGAUAGAUUGGUGUAUACCAUAUCAUUAUCUUGCACAUAGGUCUAUAGCUUGUAAACAUAUUAAAUACAUUUUUUUUCUUUUCAAAAUUGAAAACCAGGGCCCUUUUUGGCAUAAAUUGAAAAUAUUAAAAGGAAUGACCAUAAAAUAAUAGGUGAAUCAAUCAAAGCCCUUAUUUGUAGUGAAGAAUUUCAAAAACAACCAUUUUGAUGUUUUCUAAUUUUCUGGAAAGAUAGAGAAAUAGAAAACACGCUUUUCCAAUAAAUCAAUUUUUAUUUUCAGUUAGGAAAUGCGUUUCCUUUAGUUUUCUGUUUAUUUUUUUUAAAAAAAAAUUCUAGAAAACUGGAAGAUUUCCACAAUUAAAUGCAACCUAAAAUAUGAUUGUAUACAAGUGCUUUGGCUGGUCAAUUGCUUUGGGAGAGAUGUUUGGUAUGUUUUAAUAAGAUUUCCCUGCCAUAAUUUACUAGUUAUCAUCUGAUUUUUCUUUUCUGGAAAGUUUAGGCACCAUGUUCACUGUUUUAUUUCCUGGUGUUUCUUCGGUGUUGUCGAUGACAGUGAGCCAGAAAGGACAGAUGCCACAAGUUGAGAUGCUCUUCCUGAAGGUCUUACUCGUGAGCUCCCAACUGCAGAUGAGUUUAAAAAACCUCCCAGCUGCUGAACCAGCUACAACUUCGUUUGAUGACAUUGAAGAACUUCAGAAGCAACUUGAUGCCCUUAAUGCUGAUUAAGGUCCAAUAUUAGCAUUUAGUGCAGAUACAGGUAAACUGUCUGGUGAAGUAAGAAAUUCUACAUUUUUUGACCAUGUCCUUUCUUGGGUAAAUAUUUAGCCUUUGAGAAGGGAGAAUCCAACUGUGCAUUGUUGUUCCCUUUAAAAUUUUAAGGAUCUAACCCGCCUCCCACCAUGCCCUUGUUUUCAACGUUGUUGUAUACCACAGAACUAAUUUACUAGGUUUAAAUAAAACACAAAUGUAGCAUUUGGCAGAGACCAGUUCCAUGAAACGAGCAUUUAUUGGUUGGAUUUGGUUGAAACUUUGUACAUUUAUGUUGAAUCAACCAGAGCAGAGCAGUGCCACAACAAAAAGCACCAACGAUUUCUGGCUCCAUAUUUCCUUUUGAUGAAUACCACUUACGGGCAGUAGAACUCCAACUGAAUUGUCGGGUCAGUGUUACAUGGCACGAGUCACCCAAUCUGGUUUCUCUAGUUUUUAGGGUUUUCCUUUCUCAUGAGCAAAUAGUUUGCUUAACUCCAUGCAAAGAACAUCGAUAGAUGAUAAUGUCAUACGAUACAAAGGAAUUCUGUGCAGAGUAGAAAGAGGGAUCCACUAUAAACAGCGCGGGAUAACUGCCCAACUGAGUUUGCAGUCGAAGCUGUUACCUUGUCAUCACUCCGACCUAGUUAAAGCUGUUGGCUGAGAUGAUACAACACAGCCAUACUUGUUUCUCCUGACAGAGAUGGUGAUGCUCAGGCUUGACAAAUGAACAGCAAUAAAGUCAUUAUCUAGGGCUCUUGGAACUUGAUCGAAAUUUGGUCCGUCUGGGGUUGGUGUUUUCUGAACUGCCAUUGGAAGAACAAGUACGAUUAAAAAUAGAUCAUGAAAAGUCAAAUGCAUUGAAAUCCCAAAGCUGCUGCAAAUUAUCCUUGUUGGGUUGGAGUAUUUGUUAAUGUGCACCAUAAACAGUUUGGGGCAUGUAUUGCCAUGGCACGUUAAGCUUGGUGUCAUUGACUGGUUAUCAGUACCAAGUGAUACACAAUUUGAUGCAUCAAACAAAGGAAGUGCUUUGGCCAAAGUAAACCUCAGUGGGAGCUUCAAGUAGAUUAACUGAGAAAAAUCAGUGCAGUGUUUAGCACUACCUCCACGAAACAGCAAGCAAAACUUACUUUAAUACCAGCCAUGGACAGUAACUUGUGUGAAGCAAUGUACGCCGUAUCUGAAUUGUUCUUCUCUAUAAAAUAUAUAACUUCAGACACGCCCGACUGCAAGAAAGAAGGGAAGCUAAAUCCAUUUAGAAAUCAAUUGUGAAAGGCAAGAAAAUAGGAAAAAUGAAAGGAGAGCACUGAGAAUGGGGCACAUUUCUAGAGCUUGUAAACAAAUACCAGCACGGUGGCAAAGAGUUAGAUUCCACUGAGAGCCAGUUUUUCUAGGCAAUAAAGAAAAAUUAUUUAGAUCAUAUCAUGUAGCCGCCUUGUCAGCCUAUCACUGGAUGGUUACUUGGGAUUUUCAGCACUAUAUCUCAUAAAGUUUGUGUACAUUUAUGCAGUCGGCUGCUAUAGUUGAACACUGCAGGUUGCCACCUAAAGUCUUAUUCAGCCUUGUUAGAAAGACAUCAACUGAAAACAUAAACUAUAAUGUUCCUAUC